AUUUGAGCUUGUUGAUAUUGUUGAGUGCCUAUUCUGUGCAGGCACUAUUCUAGGAGCUGUGGGGAAUGUAUAAUUUGUGAUCUCAAGGAUUUUAAUUCAGUCACCCUGAAUAGGAGCAAUAGAGGCCAUUUACAGGACUCUGAUGAAAAAUCAGAUGCAGUCAUGUGUAAUGGAGAAAAAGCUCUCCAGGAACUCAGAGGAGUCAAGAGUGUCCACCCAGGAAGGAUUUCACGGAAGAAGUGGUAUUUGAGAUGAGCUCUGAAGGGAUGUGCCCGAUAUUCCAGAUCUCCAACGUUACAGGCGAGAACCUAGAUCUGCUGAAGAUGUUCCUCAACCUCCUCUCCCCCCGCACCAGCUACAGGGAGGAGGAGCCUGCUGAGUUUCAGAUUGAUGACACCUACUCCGUCCCGGGUGUGGGGACAGUGGUUUCGGGGACGACACUGAGAGGCCUGAUCAAGCUGAAUGACACGCUGCUGCUGGGCCCAGACCCCUUGGGUAACUUCCUGUCCAUUGCUGUCAAAUCCAUCCAUCGCAAGCGCAUGCCUGUCAAGGAGGUGCGGGGUGGCCAGACAGCAUCCUUU
rnacentral:sRNA from 1 species